AAUGGGGUAACGUUAGGCUUCUCUUAGCGAUGUCACAUAGGAUAAAAUCUGACGUGGAAGAGAAAGAAAUGAAAAAAAAGUCAAAAGGCUUCUCUUAAUUAAGAGAUGAUCUCUUCACAAGAAUGAUAAGACAAAGAUAAGGCAUAUUUUCCAUUGUAUUGGAUUUUGCUUUUUUUAACACUUAUUUAGUUAAUUUUAUUCAUCUAAGUAUUAAUUUUAAGAUAUAACACUAAGAGAUAACUCAUUGUACAACAUGUUUUGUUGUCUUUUCUAAUUGACGUGGUACACCUAAGAUAAGAUAGCCUUAUCAACCAUUGUACAUGCCCUUAGUAAUGUUUAUACCAUGAGAAGAGUAAACACAAAACAUGAGGGAGAAAAAGUGGUGCUGCUAUUUCUCAAUCAUCUGAUUUUUUUUAUCAAAAUACAUUCAAUCUCAGUUGACGUAUUACAACCGUUGUACUUAGAUGUGAGGUUCAUCCCAAUCUGUCAUUUUCCACUUGCUAUCAUUGGAUUAAGAUCCGACUACCAAACACAUCAAUUAAUCUCUAACUAAAAAACAAACGACUUCUCUGUAGCAAAAUCGGAGGAAAAAAACACCUUCGCAUGGCCACGCCUGCUUCAACUCUUUAAAAAAAAAAAACUAGUACUCCGUCCGGCUUGUACUAGUUGUACUAAAUCUGCGACAAGUAAUUCCGGCCGGAGGGAAUACCAGAAUUACAGCAGAAACUAGUGCGCAAACUCAGUAGGUAAGGUGUAGAAAGACAGUGCUUCCUCCAAUCGGACGUGCUUGUUUGCCGAACUUAUGCAUGCAUAUACGUGGACAUGGUAUUUUAUUCGAUCGGACUCAAAACCUUGGGCUCCAGUUGUUUCUGAGAGAUAGGACAAGAUCUUGGCAGGAGGAGAUUGUCAUGGUUUGGUUCAUUGGUUUUGGAGACAUAUGUGGCC
rnacentral:lncRNA from 1 species